rnacentral:rRNA from 1 species
AACCAUAGGCCAUGAAUCUGGUCUUGGGACACUGUCAGGUGGGCAGUUUGACUGGGGCGGUCGCCUCCCAAAAGGUAACGGAGGCGCGCAAAGGUUCUCUCAGUACGGUCGGAAAUCGUACGUAGAGUGUAAAGGCAAAAGAGAGCUUGAUUGCAAGACAUACAGGUCGAGCAAGGAUGAAAAUCGGACUUAGUGAUCCGGUGGUUCUGCGUGGA